rnacentral:sRNA from 1 species
GACCUAACAGUAUUCAAGCGCUCUUUUAACGUAAAAGAAUGAUCCGCUUUAUAUCUCUAUAAUAGUUUCAACUAAAGAAUAUGUAACAAAAACAAAAGAAAAAGAAAAGAAAAAUCCUCCAUUAAAUCCGGAUGCUUUGGCAGAGAAUGAAAUGAUCGUUUGCUUCUUGAUUAAAAGGAAAUGAGAGUGAGAAACGGAAACAGCAAAAAAGGAGGUUGAAAAAACAUAUAGCAAGCAAACAAAAACGGGCUAUAUCCUUUUUAAGGUGUCGAUGUAACAACCGUGGCUGAUAAUGCGAGGUAGUUGUUGCUCUAUUGAAUGUUAGAAAGCAGGAUGGAAAAGAGGCUGGACCAGCAAAGCAAGGGGGUCAUAAAGACGUCGAGCGGAUAAGGAAGGACGAGGGGAUUGAAUAAAGAGCAAAGAUGAGGACCGCAAUGUGGUAAUAAUCCCCUAACCACGAAGUAAUAUUCAUCCGCCUCCUUAUCCAAAGAAGUUAUCAACCAGCCCGACCAUUCCACAAUUGAAACACACUACGUUGGAAAGAAGAAAUGGGAAACCCUAGCUCCUUAAGCCACACAUAAUUAAACAAGAUAACAAAGACAAAAAUUCCGGUACCGAUGUAUGACGACACAGAAGUAAAUAGGUGGCAAUGACACUUGGAUUGGAAUGUAUGCGCAUGCGAAGAUUCAUCCAUCAAAGAUUUAUUAAAUUGCAGGGAACCGAAAUCGGUUAUGCAGCGGAAUGGUAUGGAUCAUUGGAAAGAGCGAAAAGAACGUUAUCAUAGAAUUUUGUUGUGUGAGAUUGUGCAAAGGUAUGGCAUUUGUGAGGCCUGCUCGUGCACACCAAUGAGUGUAUAACG